AAAUAUCAACCUCCUUUGUUUCUUCCGGGGACCAAAGGAGGCUUGGACUUUGGAGGUUUUUGCUGGUGUCUUCAAAGGCCAGCUCCUCUUAAAUGAAUUAGCGGGGUCCUCUUUGCCGACCCUUGACAUGUGAUAAGAUGCUUCCGUGUCUUGGUUUCUGGCUCUGUUGCCUUUGGGACCCGCUUCUAACCGUCUUGACCUUGCGUCGAGACAAUGUUCGAGCUCGUCUCCCUUCUCGGGAAACCCUCUCGACCCCACGAAC
rnacentral:misc_RNA from 1 species